AGAUUGAACGCUGGCGGCAGGCCUAACACAUGCAAGUCGAGCGGUAGAGAGGUGCUUGCACCUCUUGAGAGCGGCGGACGGGUGAGUAAUGCCUAGGAAUCUGCCUAGUGGUGGGGGAUAACGUUCGGAAACGGACGCUAAUACCGCAUACGUCCUACGGGAGAAAGCGGGGGACCUUCGGGCCUCGCGCCAUUAGAUGAGCCUAGGUCGGAUUAGCUAGUUGGUGAGGUAAUGGCUCACCAAGGCGACGAUCCGUAACUGGUCUGAGAGGAUGAUCAGUCACACUGGAACUGAGACACGGUCCAGACUCCUACGGGAGGCAGCAGUGGGAAUAUUGGACAAUGGGCGAAAGCCUGAUCCAGCCAAUGCCGCGUGUGUGAAAGAAGGUCUUCGGAUUGUAAAAGCACUUUAAGUGGGUAGAAAGGUUGUAAACUUAAUACGUUAGCAAACUUUGACGUUACCGACAGAAAUAAAGCAACCGGCUAAACUUCGUGCCAAGCAGCCGCGGUAAACG
rnacentral:rRNA from 1 species